rnacentral:lncRNA from 1 species
UUUUUGGUCCACCUCCCCACCCCCAAUGAUUUAUUUUUAUUUUUAACAAGGUUUAUUACUUCUGUUUGACAAGUUGGAAGCUGAGAUGACACCAAAACACUAAAUGACUUGGCCAAGGUCAUACAGGAAAGCUGGGAUGGAGCACCAAACAUAUGAUUGCUUCUGAUUUCCAAGCCAGCACUCAAACCACUGGACAUCCUUCUUAAUUUUCAAGUCUCUUCUGGCACUGCUACCAACUUUCUGGGCCAAUUCCUCAACCACAUUGUGCCUCUUUUUCCCUGCUUUUAUAAAUAAAGCCAACCUCGUGAGAUGUUAAAAGUGUUGGGGCUAAAAUCAAGGUGGUGAAGGACCUCCUCGGCAGAACGAAAUCACAGCAUCCUCAGGAGGGUGAUGGCAUGUGGUAAGAAGCUCUGGACAGGACCAGGAGGAGAGGCCAGGGCUGGAGCAAGUCUGUAUCCUGCUGCAGCCCCGUUGCCCCCACGCUGUGUCCUGUUGCACCCUGGAGGAAGCAGAAUGGUGCUUGUGCUGCUUCAGGAAUAAGGUGGUGGCAUGCAGUGGUGACAUUCCCUAACUGCCCGCAGUGGAUCUAGCACACAAGUCCAAGAGCCCACAAGUCCAAGAGAGUUCACAGAGCGCUUCUCCACCCUGCUUUGGUGCAGGUUCCUGAGCCAAUAUCGCUGUGCCAUGUACUGCUCUUUGGAUGUACAAGCUCUCCUAAGGUCAAUACAGCCCGGAUGCAAUGCCAGGUCUAAGAUCAUCAGAAAAGGUAAGUUACUUAAUUUUUCCAUUGAAAAAAUGGGAAUUGAGCUUGAAAUUGUUCAAGCUCCUUCCUCCUCUUGUUUUGCCUUGCACUUAACACCUUCAGAACUGAAGAUGAGGACCAUGCAGGCCUGCAGAGGACUCAGGUGUCCUCUGUGUACCCCUCCUCCAUCCCCAGGUGGGUUCUCCUGUGCCAGGUGA